rnacentral:rRNA from 1 species
AGAGUUUGAUCAUGGCUCAGAUUGAACGCUGGCGGCAGGCCUAACACAUGCAAGUCGAACGGUAACAGGAAGCAGCUUGCUGUUUUGCUGACGAGUGGCGGACGGGUGAGUAAUGUCUGGGAAACUGCCUGAUGGAGGGGGAUAACUACUGGAAACGGUAGCUAAUACCGCAUAACGUCGCAAGACCAAAGAGGGGGACCUUCGGGCCUCUUGCCAUCGGAUGUGCCCAGAUGGGAUUAGCUAGUAGGUGGGGUAACGGCUCACCUAGGCGACGAUCCCUAGCUGGUCUGAGAGGAUGACCAGCCACACUGGAACUGAGACACGGUCCAGACUCCUACGGGAGGCAGCAGUGGGGAAUAUUGCACAAUGGGCGCAAGCCUGAUGCAGCGACGCCGCGUGAGGGAUGGAGGCCUUCGGGUUGUAAACCUCUUUUAUCGGGGAGCAAGCGAGAGUGAGUUUACCCGUUGAAUAAGCACCGGCUAACUACGUGCCAGCAGCCGCGGUAAUACGUAGGGUGCAAGCGUUAUCCGGAAUUAUUGGGCGUAAAGGGCUCGUAGGCGGUUCGUCGCGUCCGGUGUGAAAGUCCAUCGCUUAACGGUGGAUCCGCGCCGGGUACGGGCGGGCUUGAGUGCGGUAGGGGAGACUGGAAUUCCCGGUGUAACGGUGGAAUGUGUAGAUAUCGGGAAGAACACCAAUGGCGAAGGCAGGUCUCUGGGCCGUUACUGACGCUGAGGAGCGAAAGCGUGGGGAGCGAACAGGAUUAGAUACCCUGGUAGUCCACGCCGUAAACGGUGGAUGCUGGAUGUGGGGCCCGUUCCACGGGUUCCGUGUCGGAGCUAACGCGUUAAGCAUCCCGCCUGGGGAGUACGGCCGCAAGGCUAAAACUCAAAGAAAUUGACGGGGGCCCGCACAAGCGGCGGAGCAUGCGGAUUAAUUCGAUGCAACGCGAAGAACCUUACCUGGGCUUGACAUGUUCCCGACGGUCGUAGAGAUACGGCUUCCCUUCGGGGCGGGUUCACAGGUGGUGCAUGGUCGUCGUCAGCUCGUGUCGUGAGAUGUUGGGUUAAGUCCCGCAACGAGCGCAACCCUCGCCCCGUGUUGCCAGCGGAUUAUGCCGGGAACUCACGGGGGACCGCCGGGGUUAACUCGGAGGAAGGUGGGGAUGACGUCAGAUCAUCAUGCCCCUUACGUCCAGGGCUUCACGCAUGCUACAAUGGCCGGUACAACGGGAUGCGACGCGGCGACGCGGAGCGGAUCCCUGAAAACCGGUCUCAGUUCGGAUCGCAGUCUGCAACUCGACUGCGUGAAGGCGGAGUCGCUAGUAAUCGCGAAUCAGCAACGUCGCGGUGAAUGCGUUCCCGGGCCUUGUACACACCGCCCGUCAAGUCAUGAAAGUGGGCAGCACCCGAAGCCGGUGGCCUAACCCCUUGUGGGAUGGAGCCGUCUAAGGUGAGGCUCGUGAUUGGGACUAAGUCGUAACAAGGUAGCCGUACCGGAAGGUGCGGCUG